UGUAAAUCUACACUUAUGGGAAAUGAUCAUUACAAAACAAAAAGGCAGGAACCGAAAACCAUGGGACUGAUAGCAAAACAUCCUUUCUGAAAAUUAGGGGAAUUCUAACUAUUUAUGUACAGUUAACAUUGCACGCAGCCAUACUUCUUUGUAGGAUACUAAUUUGUAGGAUACUAAUUUGUAGGAUACCUGCCUAGCGUCACCAACCUCCUUUACUCUUGGGUUAAAAUAAUUUAAACAAAGGAAUUCUGUGUUUAAAAAGAUCUUUGCCUCCCCAGCAGGGUGCAUCAUCGAUGAUUUAUGCUUCUAACAUGUACUAUUCUUUCCUCAGGCAGCCACAGCUACCGCUGCAGCCUCUCCUGUGAGACAGCUGGGCCCAGCCCGCUGAGUCAAAAGUAUCUCAGCCAAAGACGGAGUCUUGCACUCUCACCCAGGCUCGAGUGCAGUGGUGCUUGGCUCACUGCAAGGUCCGCAUUCUGGUUUCACGCCAUUCUCCUGCCUCAGCUCCUGCGUAACUGGGAUUACAGGCACCUGCCACCACGCCCGGCUAAUUUUUUGUAUUUUUAGUAGAGAUGGGGUUUCACCGUGUUAGCCAGGAUGGUCUCCAUCUCCUGACCUUGUGAUCCACCUGCCUCGGCCUCCCAAAGUGCUGGGAUUACAGGCAUGAGUCACCGCACCCGGCCACAAACUGUUGUUUUAAAAUAUGUAUACACACAUGAAAUGAUUACCACCAAAACAAUGAACAUACCUAUUAUCUCCAAAAGUUUUCUGUGCCCCUUUGUAAUUCCUCCCUUUCUUUAGCCUCACUCCCCCAUUCCCAAGCAGUCACUGAUAUGCUUUCCGUGAUGAUAGUUUGCAUUUUCUAGUUUUAUAUAACAGAAUCACAUAGUAUCUACUCUUUGUUGUCUAGCUUCUUUAACUCCGCAUAAUUAUUUUAAGAUUCACCCAUGUCAUCGCAUGUAUCAAAAGUCCAUUUUUUUGCUGAGCACUAUUCCAUUGUACAGCUAUAUUACUUUGUUAUUCCAGUCAUCGGUUGAUGGACAUUUGAUUUGUUUCCAUUUUUGGGCUAUUACAAAUAAAGCUGUUACAAACAUUCGGGUCCCAAGUCCUUUGUAGGGACAUCUAUUUUCUUUUUCUUGGGUAAAUAUCUAGGAGUAGAAUGUCUGGAUCACAUAGUAGGUAUAUGUUUAACUCUUUAAGAAACAGUUAAACUGUUUCCCAAAGGUUUUACCAUUUUACAAUCAUAUGUGUCUCAUAUGUAAAACCAGCAUAUGAGAGUUCAGGUUCUACCAUAUCCUUGCCAACACAUGAUAUGGUCAGUCCUUUUAAUUUUAGCCAUUCUAGUAGGUAUGCAAUAGUAUCUCAUUUUGCUUUUAAUUUGCAUUUCACCAAUGACUAAUUAUGUUGAACAUUUUUUUCAUGGGCUCAUUUGCCAUAUAUGUAUGUUGUUUGGUAAAAUGUUUGUUGCAAUAUUUUACCCAUAAAAAACAUUGUUUUCUUAUUACUGAGUUUUAAGAGUUCUUUAUAUAUUCUAGAUACAAAUUCUUUUUUUUUUUCUUUUUUUUGAGACGGAGUCUCGCUCUGUUGCCCAGGCUGGAGUGCAGUGGUGUAAUGGCUCACUGCAACCUCCGCCUCCCCAGUUCAAGCAAUUCUCCUGCCUCAGCCUCCCAAGUAGCUGGGAUUACAGGUGCCCAGCACCACGCCCGGCUAAUUUUUGUAUUUUUAGUAGAGACGGGGUUUCACCAUGUUGGCCAGGCUGGUCUCGAACUCCUGACCUCAGGUGAUCCACCCGCCUCAGCCUCCCAAAGUGCUGGGGUUACAGGUGUGAGCUACCACGCCCAGACUAGA
rnacentral:lncRNA from 1 species